rnacentral:tRNA from 1 species
ACAUUUUAGAGUGUUAUUUUUUGCAUGUUUAGUUUGCGUCUAAAAGGUGAAGCGUUUGUUUCUAAAGUG